CCUACGGGAGGCAGCAGUGGGGAAUAUUGCACAAUGGGGGCAACCCUGAUGCACCGACGCCGCGUGAGCGAAGCAGUAUUUCGGUAUGUAAAGCUCUAUCAGCAGGGAAGAAAAUGCCGGUCCCUGAGUAAGACGCUCAGGCUAAAUACGUGAAAGGAGCCGCGGGACUACGUAUGGAGCAAGCGUUAUCCGGAUUUACUGGGGGUAAAGGGGGCGCAGGGGGCCUUGCAAGUCUGAUGGUAAAUACCGGGGCUCAACCCCGGGACUGCUCUUGAAACUGCAUGGCUGGAGUACAGGAGGGGCAGGCGGAAUGCCUGGUGUAGCGGUGAAAUGCGUAGAUAUUAGGAGGAACACCGGUUGCGAAGGCGGCCUGCUGGACGGUGACUGACGUUGAGGCCCGAAGGCGUGGGGAGCGAACAGGAUUAGAUACCCCAGUAGUC
rnacentral:rRNA from 1 species